ACCGGGCCGCGGGGCCAGGUCAUGGCCGGCGGCUCCUGGCGGGAAGGCCCGGCCCGCGAAGGCCGGUGGCGGCUGCAGGAAGUCCGCGCUGCCGCUCAGAGGGAGGCCGCUGAAGGGCCGGCCGAGGGCUGCCAUGGCUUUCCAGACGAGGCUGCGUCCGCGACCCCAGUCGUUCGUUUUCCCAGACUCCGCAGUGGCCGCCACCAACGCUACCCACGAUUACCUGCCUCUGAGCCCUCUUCGGCCCCCCAACCUCACGCCUUCUAGAACCCUCCACUCCGGACCGCCCAGAGACACGUCGGGAUUUGUUGUGUAUAGAGGGCCGCUGUCGUGAGGCAUGCCGGGAGUUGUGGUCCUUAAGGACUACAGGCAAGAUGGCCGGGGGUGUACCGGACGAAUUGCAGGAGGUCAGGUCGCCCUCACCCGGCCAGAAUGACAGACACCCAAUCCCUAUACAGAACGUUUGAGCUGGGCGUGGUGGAUUCCCAGCUCUUAUCAGGUGGAGGCAGGAUAAUCAGACACAUUCAAAGCCAGACUUUGACUAAGUAGCAUGGUCUAGGCUAGCCUAGUCUACGUGGGACCCAGUCCAAAAUAAAAAGUUACACGUU
rnacentral:lncRNA from 1 species